rnacentral:rRNA from 1 species
UACGUAGGGGGCUAGCGUUGUCCGGAAUCAUUGGGCGUAAAGAGCGCGUAGGCGGCUAGAUAAGUCCGGUGUGAAAGUCACAGGCUCAACCUGUGAAUGCCGCUGGAAACUGUCUGGCUAGAGUCCGGAAGGGGCGAGUGGAAUUCCUGGUGUAGCGGUGAAAUGCGCAGAUAUCAGGAGGAACACCAGUGGCGAAGGCGGCCUUCUGGGCCUAUCCUGACGCUGAGGAGCGAAAGCGUGGGGAGCAAACCGG